GAUGAAGAACGUAGCGAAAUGCGAUAAGUAAUGUGAAUUGCAGAAUUCAGUGAAUCAUCGAAUCUUUGAACGCACAUUGCGCCCCCUGGUAUUCCGGGGGGCAUGCCUGUUCGAGCGUCAUUUCACCACUCAAGCCUCGCUUGGUAUUGGGCAACGCGGUCCGCCGCGUGCCUCAAAUCGACCGGCUGGGUCUUCUGUCCCCUAAGCGUUGCGGAAACUAUUCGCUAAAGGGUGUUCGGGAGGCUACGCCGUAAAACAACCCCAUUUCUAAGGUUGACCUCGGAUCAGGUAGGGAUACCCGCUGAACUUAAGCAUAUCAAUAAGCGGAGGA
rnacentral:misc_RNA from 1 species